CUACGGGCCGCUGCAGUGAGGAAUAUUGCACAAUGGGGGGAACCCUGAUGCAGCAACGCCGCGUGGAGGAUGACGCAUUUCGGUGUGUAAACUCCUUUUAUAUGUCAAGAAAAUGACGGUAGCAUAUGAAUAAGCACCGGCUAACUCCGUGCCAGCAGCCGCGGUAAUACGGAGGGUGCAAGCGUUACUCGGAAUCACUGGGCGUAAAGGACGCGUAGGCGGGUUGGAAAGUCAGAUGUGAAAUCCUACAGCUUAACUGUAGAACUGCACUUGAAACUUUUAAGCUAGAGUAUGGGAGGGGGAGAUGGAAUUAGUGGUGUAGGGGUAAAAUCCGUAGAUAUCACUAGGAAUACCUAAAGCGAAGGCGAUCUCCUGGAACAUUACUGACGCUAAGGCGUGAAAGCGUGGGGAGCAAACAGGAUUAGAUACCCUCGUAGUC
rnacentral:rRNA from 1 species